rnacentral:rRNA from 1 species
UACCCUGGUAGUCCACGCUGUAAACGAUGAGUGUUAGGUGUCGGGGUCUUAGACCUCGGUGUCGUAGCUAACGCGUUAAACACUCCGCCUGGGAAGUAAGAUCGCAAGAUUAAAACUCAAAGGAAUUGACGGGGACCUGCACAAGUGGUGGAACAUGCGGUUUAAUUCGAUGUCACGCGAAAAACCUUACCAACUCUUGACAUAGUGAUCGCGGAGUUCAGAAAUGAACUUCUUCGGUUCGGCCGGAUCACAUACAGGUGUUGCAUGGCUGUCGUCAGCUCGUGUUGUGAGAUGUUAGGUUAAGUCCUGCAACGAGCGCAACCCCUAUCCUUAUUUGCCAGCGGGUAAUGCCGGGAACUAUAAGGAAACUGCCAGUUAUAAACUGGAGGAAGGUGGGGAUGAAGUCAGGUCAGCAUGGCCCUUAAGGGUUGGGCUACACACGUGCUACAAUGGCGGUGACAGUGGGAAGCUAUGUGGUGACACAAUGCUGAUCUCUAAAAGCCGUCUCAGUUCGGAUUGCACUCUGCAACUCGAGUGCAUGAAGGUGGAAUCGCUAGUAAUCGCGGAUCAGCAUGCCGCGGUGAAUACGUUCCCGGGCCUUGUACACACCGCCCGUCACACCAUGGGAUUUGGUUCGACCUUAAGCAGGUGCGUGAACCCGUAAGGGACACAGCCUACCACGGUCGGGUUAGAGACUGGGGUGAAGUCGUAACAAGGUAGCCGUAA